rnacentral:rRNA from 1 species
CGNNGAGAAANCAGGCCACUAUUCGGGCCUUGCGCUAUCAGAUGAGCCUAGGUCGGAUUAUCUAGUUGGUGAGGUAAUGGCUCACCAAGGCUACGAUCCGUAACUGGUCUGAGAGGAUGAUCAGUCACACUGGAACUGAGACACGGUCCAGACUCCUACGGGAGGCAGCAGUGGGGAAUAUUGGACAAUGGGCGAAAGCCUGAUCCAGCCAUGCCGCGUGUGUGAAGAAGGUCUUCGGAUUGUAAAGCACUUUAAGUUGGGAGGAAGGGCAGUUACCUAAUACGUGAUUGUUUUGACGUUACCGACAGAAUAAGCACCGGCUAACUCUGUGCCAGCAGCCGCGGUAAUACAGAGGGUGCAAGCGUUAAUCGGAAUUACUGGGCGUAAAGCGCGCGUAGGUGGUUUGUUAAGUUGAAUGUGAAAUCCCCGGGCUCAACCUGGGAACUGCAUCCAAAACUGGCAAGCUAGAGUAUGGUAGAGGGUGGUGGAAUUUCCUGUGUAGCGGUGAAAUGCGUANAUAUAGGAAGGAACACCAGUGGCGAAGGCGACCACCUGGACUGAUACUGACACUGAGGUGCGAAAGCGUGGGGNAGCAAACAGGAUUANAUACCCUGGUA